rnacentral:lncRNA from 1 species
CCCGGGCUCAGGUGCCCCCCGCUCUCCGGACCUUCUCGCCCGGCCCCGCGUCCCCUCCGCGGGCUUCCCCCGGCGGCCGGCCGGGCUCGGAGGCUCGCGGCCGGAGCGGAGCGGAGUGCGCACGCCGGGGUGGCAGGACUUCGGCAAGACCAACUUUCCGUGGUCCUGUCUGGUGUGAACCGUCAGCACAGAUGGCCUCCUGGAGCUUCCCCGAGUCGUUCGCUGGGGGAAGCGGGCGGUGAGCGGCCAGCCCGGGCGCUCCGCAGGCCGCGAGCUCCCGGCAGGGCUGGUGGCGGGGGUCCGCCUGGGGGAGGAAUCCCCGCCUGCUCCAUCGGACCCGGCCUGGCGCGGCUCGCGGCGCUCGGCGGGCUCCCUUCCAUUCUAGAAUCUUCCCGCUUGCUUCCCAGCCCGCGUUCUUCCGCCUGCCUUUAAUUGUAAGCAGACACAGGUUCCCACGGCGUCUGACGCCUGCGGAGCAAGUCCAGAGCCAGCUGGACUCGCAGCCUCUGGCCCGGCGGCACCAACUCCUCACUGGGUCAUUUUGAGCGCGCUGUGCCCACCUUUUCUGUUGCGUGUGGACGUGGGGAGGAUCUUCUAAGUCCCUCCAACGAAGGCAAGUGUGAGACUCUGGCCCUUUAUUUGUAAGAAGCAAGCCUUCAGAUUGCAGAAGUGUCGCGCGGGUCGCCGUGCGUUGCGCGAGUGGGAAGAUGGAGGAGGCCGGCACGCUGCUUUCGUGGACGCAAGUGAACCGGGCGUGAAGGCAGGGUGCGAGCUCUGCCCUUGGCCCAGCCCUGCGUGGGCGCCGUCCCAGAUUCCGGGCGGUGCGGGGUGCAGAGAUCUGGAGAGACUUGCGGGCUCCCCAGCGCAGGCUGCUCUGGGAUUUCGUUGGAAGAUCCGGCAGAGCCUUGGAGGAGAGGGCCCGGGAGGCUGUGUGUGCAGCGGAAACUUGUACGAAUGCCCCCACAGCGGAAAUGGUGCGCACGAGUAAUUUCUGCGGUGCACCCUUUUAAAAAUUGACAAGUGAACAAGAUCAAUUUUUUAAGAAAGCAAAGGUAGAAAACAAAAGGCGUGCGACUUCUUGACUGGCUUGUUCCCGCCUUUCUUCCUUCUCUAUACUCAGAUCAGAAACUUUUCUUUAAUUGCUCUUAUUCAGUGCGACAACUUUUAAUAAAAGCAUUUGCAUUUUAAGCCUGAGUUGCAACCAUAGAUUUAUUGCGAAGUGACAACGUGUCUAUGGAAUAUUUUCGCAGAUGAGACAGGACAUGCGCUCUAGUCGUGCCCAGAUUAAAGCGACGCUGGGCCAUGUGCCUGUGUAGUGCAGACUCGGAGGGGCACACACAUACUCGUCACCACAUGACCACUGUCUAUUAAUAUUGUCAUACCUAAACACUCGCAAAAACAAAAGUUGCUUUUCUUCCCUGUAAUUAAAUCUAAUUUGUUAAUUGUCUUUCCUCUUGCAAUGUUGUUUUCAUCUUGAGGUGACACAUUAUUAUUUUGUCUAAUAUUAUUUACAAAUUAA